rnacentral:rRNA from 1 species
CAAUAGCGUAUAUUAAAGUUGUUGCAGUUAAAAAGCUCGUAGUUGGAUUUCUGGUAGGAGUGACCGUUCCGAACUUGAUUGUUCGUGUAUUGUGUUUUCUCCAGCCAUCCUUGUGGAGAACUUUUCUUGCAUUAAUUUGUAGGGAUUGGGACCCGCAUCGUUUACUGUGAAAAAAUUAGAGUGUUUAAAGCAGGCAAUCGCUUGAAUACAUUAGCAUGGAAUAAUAAGAUAGGACUUUGGUACUAUUUUGUUGGUUUGCAUACCAAAUUAAUGAUCAACAGGAACAGUUUGAGGAUAUUCGUAUGAACAUGUCAGAGGUGAAAUUCUUGGAUUUUGAUCAGACGAACUACUGCGGAAGCAUUUAUCAAGGAUGUUUUCAUUAA